UCGAACGGAAACGAAAAUAUCUUGCUAUUUGGCGUCGAGUGGCGAACGGGUGAGUAACGCGUAGGAAUCUACCCAGUAGAGGGGGAUAGCCCGAAGAAAUUCGGAUUAAUACCGCAUAAUCUCUACGGAGUAAAGAAGGCCUCUUUACAAUGCUUUUACUAUUGGAUGAGCCUGCGUUAGAUUAGUUAGUUGGUAGGGUAAAAGCCUACCAAGGCGACGAUCUAUAGCUGGUUUUACGAGAAUGAUCAGCCACACUGGAACUGAGACACGGUCCAGACUCCUACGGGAGGCAGCAGUGAAGAAUAUUGGACAAUGGGGGAAACCCUGAUCCAGCAAUGUUGCGUGUGUGAAGAAGGUCCGAGGAUUGUAAAGCACUUUCAGUAAGCAAGAAAAAUGUAAAUCUAAUAGAUUUGCAUGUUGACCACUUAUAGAAGAAGCACCGGUUAACUCCGUGCCAGCAGCCGCGGUAAUACGGAAGGUGCGAGCGUUAAUCGGAAUUACUGGGCGUAAAGGGUAA
rnacentral:rRNA from 1 species